UGGAAAAUCUAAUGCUGGCUCUGCCCCUGCCCCUGAGGAAAAUAUGCCGAGAGCACAGAGAGUCAUUGCCCCGAGGGGCUAUUCCUCGCCUUGGAGACAAAGUCCAAGAGUCGCUUUAUUUUUAAGGGUCUAAAAUAAGUUCACAGUCGUGCGAGGGAGAUGAUCUGAACGCAGAUCUUUUGUUCAGCUUCUCUGCAUGUAUCACAGGCCCGAGCGUGGCACUUCGUAGGUCGUGGCUGUGCAACGAAAGCUCUUUCUGACUUGCGGUGUUAAAGAUCCGGAACGUUAUAAAAUGUCUUGUUUUUCAGAUCCUGUUAAGAAUCGCAAGAAGAAACAAUGGCCGUGGAGGACCUUGAACCUCACCCCGAAGAUUUGGAGCCUGGGAAGCAAUAAACCAGAUAAGUCACGCUUCCCUGCUCUCUGUUCUCCUUCUCUGCUGUGCCGUUCUCCUGACUCCCCUGGUCUGUCUCUGCCUCUUUCGGUCCUCCUCCUCCUCCUCCUCCUCCUCCUCCUCCUCCUCCUCUUCUCCCCCUCCUCCUCUUUCUGGUGCAAUUUUAUCUCCAGUUUCAUAUCAUUUGCUUUUUCUGCACUUUCUUUGACUUAAUCAUAAGCCAGAAAAUGACAUAGCCUAACUUUUCAGCUCACUGCACCAAGGGCUAUAAGGGUUCAGCACGAUGAAGGAGAGGUUUCCGAUGUCUGCAAGAAGCUCAUACUCUGGCGGAGAUGAGCGCCGGACGUGUCGGGGUGGUGAAAGGAGAAAUAUCAUUUGUUGGGGGAUCAGGGAAAGCUAUGCUGAGAGAGGUGGGAUUCGCUGAUGAUGCGACGCGAGGUUUUGAUGGCAAGACUGAAGGUUGAAGUAGCUGAUGUUCUAGAGUUGGAUAUUCGAUCACCUUCGUGAGAAACCAUUGGCUAACUGGCUAAACAUCCAGACUAUUGGGUUUAGCAGCCAGG